rnacentral:rRNA from 1 species
AGCAGCCGCGGUAAAUUCCAGCUCCAAUAGCGUAUAUUAAAGUUGUUGUAGUUAAAAGCUCGUAGUUGAAUUUCGGAGUUUGUCGGUUGGUCGGGCUUCACUGUCCGCACUGACCUGAUGGACUCCUACCUUCUGAAUAACCAGCAUGCCAUUAAUUUAGUGCGUUGGGGAAGCAGAGCUAUUACCUUGAAAAAUUAGAGUGCUUAAAGCAGGCUUGUGCUUGAAUAGAUUAGCAUGGAAUAAUAAAAUAGGACGGCAUGGUUCUAUUUUGUUGGUUUCUAGGAUCACCGUAAUGAUUAAUAGGGAUAGUUGGGGGCAUUAGUAUUCAAUUGUCAGAGGUGAAAUUCUUGGAUUUAUUGAAGACUAACUUCUGCGAAAGCAUUUGCCAAGGAUGUUUUCA